rnacentral:rRNA from 1 species
AGAACGAACGCUGGCGGCAUGCCUAAUACAUGCAAGUCGAACGAACUCUUCGGAGUUAGUGGCGCACGGGUGCGUAACGCGUGGGAAUCUGCCCCUUGGUUCGGAAUAACAGUUGGAAACGACUGCUAAUACCGGAUGAUGACGAAAGUCCAAAGAUUUAUCGCCAAGGGAUGAGCCCGCGUAGGAUUAGCUAGUUGGUGAGGUAAAGGCUCACCAAGGCAACGAUCCUUAGCUGGUCUGAGAGGAUGAUCAGCCACACUGGGACUGAGACACGGCCCAGACUCCUACGGGAGGCAGCAGUAGGGAAUAUUGGACAAUGGG